UUGCAAGUACUGUAGGCCUAAGUGGACAUUUAGGUCGCAAUUAAAAUGUAUGAAUUACAUUACUUUAGACUGGCAGUUUUUAAACUGUGGGAUGCACAAAGUGCAAGAAUGGUGGUGUUCAUGGCAUGAGCUAUAUUUAAAUAUUUCACAAGUUUGCACUUAUCUAUAAUCAGAUUGAGCAAAUAGUAAGCAAAUUCCCCAUAUCCCCAAACUGGGAUAAGAACAGUUAGGAGCGAGGAGUUGGUGGUGGAGGCGGGAUGCCAGAAAAACUGUCAUAAGACAGAAGCAAGUUGGCUGUAUAUUUACUAUCAUGUUAAUUAAGUUGAUUAUCUGAACGUGUUCCACCCAAACUUUCUUAAUAAAACAUCAUUUAAAUAUUUAAUAUUUAAAUAUGAAAGUUAUAAAGUUCAUUUAACACAUUUGAUGGCGGACAUGCAUUUACAUAUUUCUGACAUGGUGCACAAGUGUUUUGCAAAUCCUCACAUACUCCUCACAUACUCCUCACAUGCAGAAAAAUAAAAUAUAUUGCAACCCGCAUAGUUUGAUUCACCAGCAAAUGACUCUUAUGACCGUGGUUCGAAUAAGCUUGAUGAAUCCUUCUCUAAAUGAACUCACCAUAGCAGCUAAUGAAUCAACAUGAUUCGCUCAAAUGAACUGCAAGUUGUAACCUAAAUGUAUUUUUGUUAGGCCUAUUAUACUUCUAGAUGGAUCUUAGCAUUAAAACAUUUGGAACUAACAAAUGUAAAAGCAAGUGGGAAAGUUAAAUAAAUUAUGCUAGUACAAUCUCAGAACUUGAGCCAUAAGGUUUUAGAAACUUUUAACUAAUUGAGUUUUUUUUAUAUAUAUAUUUUGUUUGAUAUCAUUAAUAUUUCAGUAUGCAAUGUAUACAUUUCAUAAACAAGUCUACAGUGUUCAAAUACCUUUGCCCAAAAAUUUAGCCUAUCUGAGUAUGUUUAAUAUCCAAUGUAAAUGUCUUAUAUGUUCUAUGUUGGAUUUAGAGGGAAAAUUUAUCACAGCCAGUGAUGACAUUCUGUCUAAUCAGCUACUGAAUGGAUUUUCCUCACUAACAGUAACAACAGGAGAUAACAACAAAAGAACCAGUUCAGAUAGACAGUGUGGGAGCAAAAACAUCUGAUUGGUUCAAUGGGACAGUACCAGUAGAUCAGACUGUUGGUACCAGAACCAGCUUUACAAUAACCUAUGAAACAAGCCUACCUAACAUUUACAUAAUGUCACCAAGUGGUUCAAUUUACGAUCAAAUGCAUAUGCAUCAUGAUGAAUCAACAAAAUAUGGUAAAUGAGGUAAUCCAAAUCUUACUCUUCUCAGCGGUCUAAUUGAGGUGAAUUAUGUCUUAUUCCUCUCAG
ensembl:lncRNA